rnacentral:snoRNA from 1 species
UUGUCUACUGAGACUCAAGAAGAUAUUUGGGGGGGGUGGCUUGGUAGAAGAGAGUGGAAAAGGUUUAAUAUAGUAAUAAAGGAGAGUGGAGAAAUUAGUUGAGAUGUCAGAUCAACAGCUGUUGGCCUUGCCUUCAUUUUUGCUGGGGCCCCAAGUUCUUGGCAGCAGCCUACAGUUAAGUCCAUAGGCGAAGCCCAAAUACCACUGGUCAGAAGCCACCUGAGUAUGACCUUGGAUCUGACA